rnacentral:rRNA from 1 species
AGAGUUUGAUCCUGGCUCAGGAUGAACGCUAGCGGCAGGCUUAAUACAUGCAAGUCGAGGGGCAACAGGGGUAGCAAUACCUGCUGGCGACCGGCAAACGGGUGCGCAACACGUACAGAACCUUCCUUUAAGCGGGGGAUAGCCCAUAGAAAUGUGGAUUGAUACCCCAUAGUAAUACUAGCUGGCAUCAGUUAGGAUUUAAAGAUUUAUCACUUAAAGAUGGCUGUGCGUCUGAUUAGGUAGUUGGUCGGGGUAACGGCCCACCAAGCCAACGAUCAGUAACUGGUGUGAGAGCACGACCAGUCACACGGGCACUGAGACACGGGCCCGACUCCUACGGGAGGCAGCAGUAAGGAAUAUUGGUCAAUGGACGCAAGUCUGAACCAGCCAUGCCGCGUGAAGGAUGAAGGCCCUCUGGGUUGUAAACUUCUUUUAUCUGGGAAGAAAUGCUUGCUUUAUAGCGAGUUUGACGGUACCAGAGGAAUAAGCACCGGCUAACUCCGUGCCAGCAGCCGCGGUAAUACGGAGGGUGCAAGCGUUAUCCGGAUUCACUGGGUUUAAAGGGUGCGUAGGUGGGUUGGUAAGUCAGUGGUGAAAUCUCCGUGCUUAACAUGGAAACUGCCAUUGAUACUACUGGUCUUGAAUUUUCUGGAGGUAAGCGGAAUAUGUCAUGUAGCGGUGAAAUGCUUAGAUAUGACAUAGAACACCAAUUGCGAAGGCAGCUUACUACAGGGAUAUUGACACUGAGGCACGAAAGCGUGGGGAUCAAACAGGAUUAGAUACCCUGGUAGUCC